rnacentral:rRNA from 1 species
GACGAACGCUGGCGGCGUGCCUAACACAUGCAAGUCGAACGGAAAGGCCCUGCUUUUGUGGGGUGCUCGAGUGACGAACGGGUGAGUAACACGUGAGUAACCUGCCCUUGACUUUGGGAUAACUUCAGGAAACUAGGGCUAAUACCGGAUAGGAGCUCCUGCUGCAUGGUGGGGGUUGGAAAGUUUCGGCGGUUGGGGAUGGACUCGCGGCUUAUCAUCUUGUUGGUGGGGUAGGGGCUUACCAAGGCUUUGACUGGUAUCCGGCCUGAGAGGGUGACCGGGCCAAUUGGGACUGAGGAACGGCCCAGAAUCCUAAGGGAGGCAGCAGUGGGGAAUAUUGCACAAUGGGCGGAAGCCUGGUGCAGCAACGCCGCGUGGGGGAUGACGGCCUUCGGGUUGUAAACCGCUUUCGCCUGUGACGAAGCGUGAGUGACGGUAAUGGGUAAAGAAGCAACGGCUAACUACGUG